AUUUAUUGUAUGCUGUUCCAGUUUGACUGCUAGGAGUGUAAACCUAUUCGCAUGGUUUUUCCUAUUCGGCUGUAUACAACAUUCAAUGCUUGAGAGCAUUCAUAUGCUUCUCCGGUUCGGUGGUUGUGGUGUCUGCUGCAGUGCUUGGAGUCCUCAGGAAGCGCUAGGAGCAUCCUUCAACGGAGGUACCCAGUCAGGGUGCCAGGUGAUCCGUUACACAC